CUGAUUAGAAGCUUGCUUCUAUGACGUUAGCGGCGGACGGGUGAGUAACACGUGGGCAACCUGCCUGUAAGACUGGGAUAACUUCGGGAAACCGAAGCUAAUACCGGAUAGGAUCUUCUCCUUCAUGGGAGAUGAUUGAAAGAUGGUUUCGGCUAUCACUUACAGAUGGGCCCGCGGUGCAUUAGCUAGUUGGUGAGGUAACGGCUCACCAAGGCAACGAUGCAUAGCCGACCUGAGAGGGUGAUCGGCCACACUGGGACUGAGACACGGCCCAGACUCCUACGGGAGGCAGCAGUAGGGAAUCUUCCGCAAUGGACGAAAGUCUGACGGAGCAACGCCGCGUGAGUGAUGAAGGCUUUCGGGUCGUAAAACUCUGUUGUUAGGGAAGAACAAGUACGAGAGUAACUGCUCGUACCUUGACGGUACCUAACCAGAAAGCCACGGCUAACUACGUGCCAGCAGCCGCGGUAAUACGUAGGUGGCAAGCGUUAUCCGGAAUUAUUGGGCGUAAAGCGCGCGCAGGCGGUUUCUUAAGUCUGAUGUGAAAGCCCACGGCUCAACCGUGGAGGGUCAUUGGAACUGGGGAACUUGAGUGCAGAAGAGAAAGCGGAAUUCCACGUGUAGCGGUGAAAUGCGUAGAGAUGUGGAGGAACACCAGUGGCGAAGGCGGCUUUUUGGUCUGUAACUGACG
rnacentral:rRNA from 2 species